rnacentral:rRNA from 1 species
UGGGGAAUUUUGGACAAUGGGCGAAAGCCUGAUCCAGCAAUGCCGCGUGUGUGAAGAAGGCCUUCGGGUUGUAAAGCACUUUUGUCCGGAAAGAAAUCCUUGGCUCUAAUACAGUCGGGGGAUGACGGUACCGGAAGAAUAAGCACCGGCUAACUACGUGCCAGCAGCCGCGGUAAUACGUAGGGUGCAAGCGUUAAUCGGAAUUACUGGGCGUAAAGCGUGCGCAGGCGGUUUGCUAAGACCGAUGUGAAAUCCCCGGGCUCAACCUGGGAACUGCAUUGGUGACUGGCAGGCUAGAGUAUGGCAGAGGGGGGUAGAAUUCCACGUGUAGCAGUGAAAUGCGUAGAGAUGUGGAGGAAUACCGAUGGCGAAGGCAGCCCCCUGGGCCAAUACUGACGCUCAUGCACGAAAGCGUGGGGAGCAAACAGGAUUAGAUACCCUGGUAGUCCACGCUGUAAACGAUGUCGAUUUUGGAGGUUGUG